CACUCUUUUCGUCAAGUUUUUCAAAAAGUUCAAACGACUCGCGAUCGCGUAACAAGUGUUAUUAGACACUUUAUUAGUUCAGCUCAUAGAGCUUUAGAGAUUUUAAAAAGUGUGCGGUUAUAAGAUUAUCUUUGUUAUCAGCCGAAAACAUGGAAUGGCUCAAGGGAAGAAACAUUGAACAAUUUAACGGCAGCCGGUAUGGAGCAUGGAAAAUCCGCAUAAAAUCUCUUCUAGAGGAACUCCAAGUAUUGUUUGUAAUAGAAGAGCCUCCGCCAGCAUACCCGGACGCCGUGUGGUCUGCUAAAAAUUCUGUUGCAAAGUGUACAAUCGUAAAUUUUUUGGGCGACGCGUUUUUACAUGUUGCUGAAGGCAGCUGUACCGCGAAAUCUAUCAUAGACCGCUUGGACAAGUUAUAUGAAAAGCGAACCUUGUGCGCGCAAUUAUCUUUACGACAGCAAUUAUUUAGUUUGAAAUUGCAGCCAAACGUAAGCCUUUUGCAGCAUUUUACAACAUUUGAUACAUUAAUAGCCAAACUGUUAGUUUCGGGCGCAAAUUUGGACGAAAUGGAUAAAAUUUGCUAUCUGUUAUUGACACUACCAGUCUCUUAUGGCGAAACUAUUUCUAAAAUAGGACUUCUUAAUGAAGAUCAAUUUAAUCUGGCGUUUAUAAAGACUGUCCUGCUGGAUCAUGAAGCCAAAAUGGAAAUGGAAGCUAUUAAGAGGUUGAAAGAAUCAACUGUUCCUAACAAUAAAAGACCGGCAAACAAUUACGGUAACGGUCCUGGUCCUAAUAAACGUAGGAAGUAUAACAAUUAUAAUCAAAAUAGAAACUAUUAUAAUUCUCAAAUGUAUUGUAAUUACUGUGGUAGAAAUAAUCAUUAUAUACAAAAUUGUCGCUAUUACAAUGGACAAAUGAAUGGCUACAACAUGCACCCGAACCAGAACCGGAGAGUUCCCAUUAACGGGUACAAAGGACAUGACUUCCCAAUGAUGUUCUCCGCAAUUUGCUCCUAAAGGUAAGGGGCAGAACAACAAUAACAACAACAACAACCCACGUCCGUCUGCAAAUAUAACCAUCAAACAAGAACCAAUAACGAUAAAGCAGGAACCCGUAGAGAUAAAACAGGAACCUGUAGCUAUAAAGAAGGAACCCACAUGGGAAGAACAUCUACAGCGAGUUGUUAAGAAAGAACCAGAAGAUAGGCCGGUGAUGGAUUCAGAAACAGCAAAUGUGUCGACGAGUUCUAAAAGGAGUCGUAGGAGGCGGAGAACAAGGGCUAGUAUUAUUGCAAUGCACAUACAAGCAGACAACGCUGGGCAGAUAUGUGGGAACCAGCAGGCUACUACCAGUGUCCAAAAUUAAGGACAUAUUCUAACUGUCCAGCGUAAGAUAAUACGUUCCUUUUUAAAGAUCUCGUACUUAUUUUUAGUGCAUAUUCACACUAUCCGAUCCGAUAUCGGAUGUAGGACCUAUAUCCAAUAGGUUUACAUAGGUAUAUAAAUGGCGCCAUCUUUGAUGUUUGCCUUUGACAUAAGAGUUUUUGUCGAGCUCCCGAUAUCUCGACGCAGUUGCAUGCAACAUGAUCACGGAAAACUGAAGAAGGCAGGUGGAUGUCAAACUUGCGUAGACAGCGCGCAAUCUACCCUCUUUCGCGCGCGCCGGCUGCGUUCUUUCAGUGGAGAAAAAGGGAGGCAUACAGACCUAUGAUCAUAUAUAGUGGACUGUCGGCCCAACAGGCCCCGUAGCCGAAUGGCACAAACGCUCACGAAACGAAACGCUCGUAGAUAUCUAUCUCUAUCG